rnacentral:rRNA from 1 species
AGUGAACGCUGGCGGUAGGCCUAACACAUGCAAGUCGAACGGCAGCACAGUAAGAGCUUGCUCUUACGGGUGGCGAGUGGCGGACGGGUGAGGAAUACAUCGAAAUCUACUUUUUCGUGGGGGAUAACGUAGGGAAACUUACGCUAAUACCGCAUACGACCUACGGGUGAAAGCAGGGGAUCUUCGGACCUUGCGCGAUUGAAUGAGCCGAUGUCGGAUUAGCUAGUUGGCGGGGUAAAGGCCCACCAAGGCGACGAUCCGUAGCUGGUCUGAGAGGAUGAUAGCCCACACGGGAACUGGAACCGGGUCCGAACUCCUAGGGAGGGAGAAGGUGGGAAAAUUGGGCAAAGGGGGGCAAGCCGACUCCGGCCAUCCCGGGGGGGUAAAAAAGGCCUUGGGUUUGAAAACCCUUUUUGUUGGGAAAAAAAGGCGGCAGGUUAAAACCCCGCGUUUUGGACGGUACCAAAAAAAAAAGCACGGGCAAAUUUGGU